AUGGAAUGUACAAAGAGUUUGGAAGAAAGCAAUGAAGCAAAUUGCUCAAGGUCUGGCGGUGGAUGUUUCUAGUCAGAGCCAACGGACAUCAAUCUAGAUCAAAUACCUACCAUCCCACUUAACAAAAGGUCUACUAUCAGGUCACUUGCUUGGAAAAUUGGGUGCAGCCCUACGACACUCCACUGGAAGUUCAUGUUGAAGUUGAUAAAGAGGCAUACAAACUGUUUGAAGCCAGUUCUGAAUGAAAAGAACAAGAAGGAUAUAAUGAAAUUUUUCUUGUCAAUGCUCGAUGAGACAACGACACAAAAUGAAAGGCCAAAAUUCAAUUCAUAUUGA
rnacentral:rRNA from 1 species